UCUCUUCCUUCUCUCUCUCUCGCUCUCUCUCCCCUCUUCUCUUUCUCUCUCUCUGCUCAUCGUAUAAGCGUCGUUCAUCCGCAGUCGGAGGCGGAGCAUCAUUCUUCUCCGGCGUCGGUGCUGGCGCUGGAGGCGGUUCCUCGCCGACGUAAGUGUAGAGAGAGAAAGAGGGGAAAUAGAGAGAUAGUUAGGGUUUGCAGAUCACCGUUUAAAAUGAAAGGGGGUCCGGCGUUGCCGCCGUCGACCGCCUCAGUGGGCUCGACAAACCGGUGGGAGCAUGGCUUGGCGGCGCAACUGUGGUGGUGAGGAAUCAUCAGAGUAGUGAAUUGAAGGGAAAUUGGGUUAAUUCUUUCUCGUGGACGCGAGGAAUUAGGGCUUUUUUGUGCGAUUCGAUUUUGGUGAAGGGUGAAUUUGAUUGGUGAUGAAGAGCUUGGCGGUGACGGCGUCUUCCACGGCCAGGGCCAAUUGAUUAAUAUCAAUAUUGAGUAUUUUGGUACCGAUGAACUGCUGCACUACAUUUCUUAGAGGUAAUUCCGUUUUCUUUUUCUUUUUUUGUGUGUGUGCAUAAGUGACCGCAAUUUAUCUGGAAAAUCAAUUAUUUAUGGGCUAAUUUUUGUUGUAGAUUAGCUUCAAUUUAUUGCGGAAGUUUUCAUUUUGCUUUGGUUUUCGUAGAGAAAAGGGUGUAUUGACUAUUGAGUGCUCUUUUUGGCUGAAUUGCAUCCAUUCAUCGUAUUGUUUGUUAAUGGUGCGAAUUCCAUGGCUAUCUUCACUGAGGCAGGUCACAGAUUUAUCUGAGCAAACAUCAUGAAUUCCUGAAUGGAGGGAGUAACUCUAAAUUGGUUCCUUAACUUUUCAUUUAGCCAUGCUUAAGGAGGAUGAGGACUGGCUUCGAGAAUAUUGUUUGUUUAUGUUGUACCUGAAAACUAUUGAUGCUCUAAAAUUGUAUUUAAUUUUCUAUUUACCUCUUAAAUAAAUGUUUAUCUCCAUGAAAUUCACUCUCGUUUUUCUAUCUAAUUAAUUUCACAGAGUUGGUAUGCAGCGACUGCGAGAGGCAAAAAACACAAGCAGUAGAUUAUCUGAUCCUGUUGAUUGUCGGAGCUUGCUUGGGCUCACUCAUCAAAGCGAAUGAUGAAACCUUCGGUUUUAGUGCUUAUACAUAUACGAUUAUUGCUGUUUAAGAUUAAGUAUUAGGGAUCUGAUCUCCAACACUCCUGUUUACAGUUUAGCUACUGAUGUAUCAGGAGAGGGACUGAGUUUGGUGUUGAGGCGAUGGGCUAGCAAGAAAAUGGCCGGAUCUACGAAAAA